CAGUGUAGACGUGGGCUUGGUUCACCACUCCCCUUGGACGGGAGAAUUCGUAGGUUCGAAUCCUACUGCACUGACCA
rnacentral:tRNA from 1 species